UACGUAGGGGGCAAGCGUUGUCCGGAAUCAUUGGGCGUAAAGCGCGUGUAGGCGGUUCGGUAAGUCGGCUGUGAAAGUCCAGGGCUCAACCCUGGGAUGCCGGUCGAUACUGCCGGACUAGAGUUCGGAAGAGGCGAGUGGAAUUCCCGGUGUAGCGGUGAAAUGCGCAGAUAUCGGGAGGAACACCAAUGGCGAAGGCGGUGCUCUGGGCCGGAACUGACGCUG
rnacentral:rRNA from 1 species